GAGUUUGAUCCUGGCUCAGAUUGAACGCUAGCGGGAUGCUUUACACAUGCAAGUCGAACGGCAGCGCGGACUUCGGUCUGGCGGCGAGUGGCGAACGGGUGAGUAAUGUAUCGGAACGUGCCUAGUAGCGGGGGAUAACUACGCGAAAGCGUAGCUAAUACCGCAUACGCCCUUUUGGGGAAAGCGGGGGACCUUCGGGCCUCGCACUAUUAGAGCGGCCGAUAUCGGAUUAGCUAGUUGGUGGGGUAAAGGCUCACCAAGGCGACGAUCCGUAGCUGGUUUGAGAGGACGACCAGCCACACUGGGACUGAGACACGGCCCAGACUCCUACGGGAGGCAGCAGUGGGGAAUUUUGGACAAUGGGGGCAACCCUGAUCCAGCCAUCCCGCGUGUGCGAUGAAGGCCUUCGGGUUGUAAAGCACUUUUGGCAGGAAAGAAACGGCCUUGGAUAAUACCUGAGGCAACUGACGGUACCUGCAGAAUAAGCACCGGCUAACUACGUG
rnacentral:rRNA from 1 species